UACGUAGGGGGGCAAGCGUUGUCCGGAUUCAUUGGGCGUAAAGAGCGUGUAGGCGGCCUGGAAGGUCAGCUGUGAAAACUCGAGGCUCAACCUCGAGACGUCGGUUGAAACCACCUGGCUAGAGUCCGGAAGAGGAGUGUGGAAUUCCCGGUGUAGCGGUGAAAUGCGCAGAUAUCGGGAAGAACACCCGUGGCGAAGGCGGCACUCUGGGACGGUACUGACGCUGAUGCUCGAAAGCUAGGGGAGCAAACAGG
rnacentral:rRNA from 1 species